CCUACGGGUGGCUGCAGUGAGGAAUAUUGGUCAAUGGACGAGAGUCUGAACCAGCCAAGUCGCGUGAAGGAUGACUGCCCUAUGGGUUGUAAACUUCUUUUAUAUGGGAAUAAAAUGUUCCACGUGUGGGAUUUUGUAUGUACCAUAUGAAUAAGGAUCGGCUAACUCCGGGCCAGCAGCCGCGGUAAUACGGAGGAUCCGAGCGUUAUCCGGAUUUAUUGGGUUUAAAGGGAGCGUAGGUGGAUUGUUAAGUCAGUUGUGAAAGUUUGCGGCUCAACCGUAAAAUUGCAGUUGAAACUGGCAGUCUUGAGUACAGUAGAGGUGGGCGGAAUUCGUGGUGUAGCGGUGAAAUGCUUAGAUAUCACGAAGAACUCCGAUUGCGAAGGCAGUUCACUGGACUGCAACUGACACUGAGGCUCGAAAGUGUGGGUAUCAAACAGGAUUAGAUACCCGAGUAGUC
rnacentral:rRNA from 1 species